UCGGCAGUGAUGAUUGGCGCAGGGGUACGGACCUCAGCUGAUGAUGGGGGCUGAGCGCUGGCUACUGCUCUGUUCAGCCGGCACGUGGCCAGCUUUCCUGGAGCAGGCGUCAGCGUGAAACAAACGCCAAAAUCUGAGCCUC